GUUGCACCCCAAAAGCCACGCGAAAGUAGGAGGGUCUAGAUUUAUUUUCUAGGGACAGAUCAUAAUUUUGUUAAUAUGGGUUCUGAAAGAUAAGCCUAAAUAGGGUUCUUCCUGGUAGGUAUGGUUUUUUAAGUCUCGCUUGAGUUCUUUUUCUAGAAUGUUGAAGUUAACCACACUUUUUUUCAUGCACCC